rnacentral:rRNA from 1 species
GCCCUUCAGAGUUUGAUCCUGGCUCAGGAUGAACGCUGGCGGCGUGCUUAACACAUGCAAGUCGAACGCUGAAGCUCCCAGCUUGCUGGGGGUGGAUGAGUGGCGAACGGGUGAGUAUCACGUGAGGAACCUGCCCUGAACUUCGGGAUAAGCCUGGGAAACUGGGUCUAAUACCGGAUAGGACAUUCUACCGCAUGGUGGGGUGUGGAAAGUUUUAACGGUUUGGGAUGGUCUCGCGGCCUAUCAGCUUGUUGGUGGGGUAAUGGCCUACCAAGGCGAUGACGGGUAGCCGGCCUGAGAGGGUGACCGGCCACACUGGGACUGAGACACGGCCCAGACUCCUACGGGAGGCAGCAGUGGGGGAUAUUGCACAAUGGGGGAAACCCUGAUGCAGCGACGCCGCGUGAGGGAUGACGGCCUUCGGGUUGUAAACCUCUUUCAGUUGGGAAGAAGCCCUUUGGGGUGACGGUACCUUCAGAAGAAGCACCGGCUAACUGCGUGCCAGCAGCCGCGGUAAUACGUAGGGUGCGAGCGUUAUCCGGAAUUAUUGGGCGUAAAGAGCUCGUAGGCGGUUUGUCACGUCUGCUGUGAAAGCUGAAGGCUUAACCUUCAGUUUGCAGUGGGUACGGGCAGGCUGGAGUGCAGUAGGGGAGACUGGAAUUCCUGGUGUAGCGGUGAAAUGCGCAGAUAUCAGGAGGAACACCGAUGGCGAAGGCAGGUCUCUGGGCUGUUACUAACGCUGAGGAGCGAAAGCAUGGGGAGCGAACAGGAUUAGAUACCCUGGUAGUCCAUGCCGUAAACGAUGGGCACUAGGUGUGGGGACCAUUUCCACGGUUUCCGCGCCGUAGCUAACGCAUUAAGUGCCCCGCCUGGGGAGUACGGCCGCAAGGCUAAACUCAAGGAAUUGACCGGGGGCCCGCACAAGCGGCGGGAGCAUGCGGAUUAAUUCGAUGCAACGCGAGAACCCUUACCAAGGCUUGACAUACACCGGAUCGCCCUAAAAGAAUAGGGUUUCCCUUCCGGGCUGGGUGGUACAAGUGGUGCAUGGCUGUCGUCACCUCCGGUCCUGAGAAUGUUCGGUUAAAUUCCCGCACC